rnacentral:lncRNA from 1 species
CUGAUUUUAUGCCUCUUGCUGGAGGGAACAACAAGGGAUCAGGUGUCAUACUUCAGUCCUGAGCCAGAAGAAAGGUCCCUGCAGCCAGAGAGAGCAGUCUGCUUCCUUUGGAGAGGAACAGAAGCACUCCAGUAUGUGGAUCGCAUUGUCUCGAAAAAGCCACCCAGAAUUUGGAAUUCCAAGUCAUUCUGUAGAUUGAUCAGAUGAGGACGCAGAGGCCUAGAAACAUCUGCGCCAAACACGCAAGAUCACAGAAGUGUUCCUGGAAUCCAGAUCUGUCCAUCCACGCCCAAGUGAUCUCUCUGUCACCCCCCCACAUAGGUUUGGGAAAGGUAAGUGUGUUCUUUGGAAUGCCCAGUGGGCAAUGUGGAGUCACUGAGGCUGAGUCGGAGAAGGAGCGUCGGUGGGAAAGGUGCCCAGAGCUGCCACCUGCCAAACAAACCUGGGACGUGGUGCAGAAGACGUCUGGCUCCAUGAAUAGUUUCACCAAGGUCAUCUAACAUCAAAGAACAUGAGAAAAAUUCCGGACAAGUUCUGGCAUGUGGUUUACCAACAGGCCAUUAUUAAUCUCAAGCAGCGAGCUGAGAUAGCGGACGUGACAGCAAGCACAGUGGGUGGACAGGACUCCACUGGCCAGCCCCAACUUUACAGAAUGUGGCUUAAUUCUGGAAUCUAGGAGAAUCCAUAGACCAAGGCUGGCUGGCCAAAUCUGAACCAGAAGAGCACCUCUUGAGCACCUUCUCUGAGAAACCUCCAAUGAAUGCUCAAAAAACACUUGUUAUAAUCAUAUGCUCUUCUAUCAUUAAAUGCCUACACUCAGGAAAUGGACCCCGGCAGGAAGUCAUAACAAGAAAGGGUCACAGUCUGAUAAAAAAGUCAGUCCCCUAGCUGCCCCAUUCCAUCCAAGCCAGUUUGUCUCAGAAGAAAACACCUGGAUGUUUUUACGAGGAAAAAUAACUUUUUCAUUAGUAAGGGACAGCAAUGUCCUCUGGCAAUACUCUCAAUGGACAUGUCUUAGGACUCACCUGAGGAAUUGCGUUAAAAAUAUGGAUAUCUGCACCCUCUUCCUCCAUACCCAAAUCAUCUAGCAUUUUAAUUUUUUUAAAAGUGCUUUAGGUGAUUCUUCUAAUUCAGGAAGUUUGGAAAACCCUACCCUGCAAGCAGUUCUUGUUUUUUUGUUUGUUUUUUGUUUGUUUUUCUUUUAGACAGAGUCUCACUCUGUUGCCAGGCUAGCAUGCAGUGGUGCAAUCUUGGCUCACUGCAACCUCCACCUCCUGGGUUCAAGCGAUUCUCCUGCCUCAGCCUCCCGAGUAGCUGGGACUACAGGUGUGCACCACCAUGCUCAGCUAAUUGUGUUUUG